rnacentral:rRNA from 1 species
CCUACGGGUGGCAGCAGUGGGGAAUAUUGCACAAUGGGCGCAAGCCUGAUGCAGCCAUGCCGCGUGUGUGAAGAAGGCCUUCGGGUUGUAAAGCACUUUCAGCGGGGAGGAAGGCGGUGAGGUUAAUAACCUCAUCGAUUGACGUUACCCGCAGAAGAAGCACCGGCUAACUCCGUGCCAGCAGCCGCGGUAAUACGGAGGGCGCAAGCGUUAAUCGGAAUUACUGGGCGUAAAGCGCACGCAGGCGGUCUGUCAAGUCGGAUGUGAAAUCCCCGGGCUCAACCUGGGAACUGCAUUCGAAACUGGCAGGCUAGAGUCUUGUAGAGGGGGGUAGAAUUCCAGGUGUAGCGGUGAAAUGCGUAGAGAUCUGGAGGAAUACCGGUGGCGAAGGCGGCCCCCUGGACAAAGACUGACGCUCAGGUGCGAAAGCGUGGGGAGCAAACAGGAUUAGAUACCCCGGUAGUC